rnacentral:rRNA from 1 species
ACCCCCUGUUCGGGAAUAGCCGUGCCAACGCGCGGGUAAUACCGGAUAUCGUGGCUCCCACCUGGGAGUUGACAAAAGAUUUAUCGACAGGGGAUGAGCUUGCGUCCGAUUAGCUAGUUGCGGGGCAACGGCCCACCAAGGCGACGAUCGGUAGCCGGCCCUGAGAGGGUGAUCGGCCACAUUGGACUGAGAUACGGCCCAGACUCCUACGGGAGGCAGCAGUAGGGAAUAUUGCACAAUGGGGAAACCCUGAUGCAGCAACGCCACGUGUGGGAAGAAGCAUUUCGGUGUGUAAACCACUGUCGUGAGGGAAUAAGGCAUAUUUUAGGGUAUGUUGAAUGUACCUCGAGAGGAAGCACCGGCAAACUUCGUGCC